CCGACUUUAGCUCAGUUGGAAGAGCAUCAGACUGUAAUGGUUGCCACGUGAUAUAUUCAUCACGUGAUCUGGUAUCUGGUGGUCGCCUGUUCGAACCAGGCAAGUCGGA